GGCCUUCUUCCACCUAGAAACAGAGUUUGCACAUGGGUCCUGGAACCCGGGCACACCAAUCCCCAGCUAACAAAAUCCCCGAGUUGGAGGAUUUGAGAGGGUCAAGUUUGGCCCAAGAACCCGCAGUCCUCUUUGGCCUUCGGCCCUCUAUUUCUAAGUGUGGGCUUCUGGCACCGCGGCUCUGGGCAGAGCCCAUGCUGCUUUAGCGCUGGGUGGUUUCAAUGACGACAACAAUUAUCACAGUGAUGGUGACCUUCACCCCAACAGGACUGCUGUGUGUGAAGCACUCAAGAGAGCCCCUGCAACCAACCUGCCAGGAGUCAGCUCCUGAAAACAGGGUCGGAAAAGGUCACUGGCCAUCAGAAUCGAGCUGUUGGCAAAAAGCUGGAAAGGUUAGGAGCUUUGUCUAUUUCAAGGGCAACAAAUUGCUUUGACCCUGAGGACCCUGAAGACGAGUUUCCCUCACUGCAGCUCUCAAGACAACAGGGAUCAGAUUCAGAAAGACACUGCCCCUGUAAGGCUCUUGUUUGUCUUGUUUCUAAUUCCUGCCCUCUGCCCCCAAAUCUCAGUCCUCUAUCUGUGAAACGGAAUUCAGCCUUGCCUGUCCACAAAAUUAAGACAAGGAAUCUCGUGUGUGUUAAGAUGAAACAAGAUCUUAGCAAAGGAGUAAUGAUUUCUUUCUUAAAACAUUUUUUACUGUAGUAAAAUGUACUAUAACAUAAAACUACCAUUUCAAUCAUUUGUAAGUUCAGUGGCAUUGAGUACAUUCACAUUGUCGGGCAGCUGUCAGAGGUGUUCGAACCAGAGCGACUCCAUCUUGAACAGGGGCUGGGCAAAAUGAGGCUGAGACCUGCUGGGCUGCAUUCCCAGGAGGUUGGGCAUUGUUAGUCACAAGAUGAGUCAUUGGCUGCCAGGGAGGCAGGGGUAUGGCACUCUUCCUCAUGCUUACCAGAUGGCUGCUGGAAUUCCAGGAAUCACAUGCCAAUUCUAGGCAGGAGCAAAGAGGAAGAGACACAGUGAAAAGGGGUAUACAGCGGCAGAAGGAUCUCCUUCUAUCACAGUGGCGAGAACUGUGACAAGUGACCAUCCUUAGGGGAAAAAAGAUGCUGAGAAAUGUAGAAUUUUGUUGCCACCUUACAUUUUCAAAGGAGUUCCAUUCGUAAGUACAGAACGCUCAGAGAAGAGGCAGCAGAUCUAGGCUAUGGAGCAGCAGCUCCUAAGGGCACAGUGGGAAGGUUUCAAGACCGAGCAGGAUCUGGGAUUUGGGUAGGGGAAGGCAGUUCACAGUAUUGUGGAGGAAAUGCUGUGAAAGAGAAAGUGGAAGGCAUGGAGGCUUAAACUUUUUAAUAUGACUGGCGAAUACAAGGAUGAAGGGCAAAGGGAAUUCAGAUUCAUGGUGGUCAGAUUAAGACCUUUAGCAGAUCUGUCUCCCAGCCCCACACACCCACUUCCAGGUUCUGCUUUUUACUGAAGCUCAAAGUCUGCAACCUUCGUUCUCUGACUCCCUUACAUUUUCUUAGGCUUCUUGCUAGCUUCUGCCAAAAAGAGGCCCUGGCAGGAGAUUAGAUGGCAGAGGGCAGAGGUAAGGAUUCCAUGCAACAGGUGCUGGAAGUUGCUGGUGUGGCAAUGAGAACUGGGCCCCGGUCAAGGGAGCACUACUUUGGUAGAUCCAGAAUCAACCACGAUAACCAUGACAGUGUCUUCAACAGUGCAGCAGUAGACACAGGCCCCUGGUGCUGGAAUCCAAUCCAGGGACUGGAGCAGCAUGGAGUCACCGAACACCAUCUUGCCUUCAUGUCACUUUUCCGUUUCUUCUUUCUCUCUCUUACUCCACCAGCUACCUGUGGAGAUGUUUAACCUUUUAUCUGCAGCUGUCUGCUUAGGAACAAAAGAAAAGGCAGCUUAUUGCAUGACUCAGCUUUCAGCUUGAUUUUUUUCUUUUGGCAGAGUGAAUUGGGGUCCCAGGUUUUUAUUUUCCUUUUGUAGUACCUUUCCUCAACAUGCAAUUUAAUACAAAAAGAACAAUAAACCUU
rnacentral:lncRNA from 1 species